GACGAACGCUGGCGGCGUGCUUAACACAUGCAAGUCGAACGGAAAGGCCCUGCUUUUGUGGGGUGCUCGAGUGGCGAACGGGUGAGUAACACGUGAGUAACCUGCCCUGGACUUUGGGAUAACUUCAGGAAACCGGGGCUAAUACCGGAUAGGUGCUCCUGCAGCAUGGUGGGGGUUGGAAAGUUUCGGCGGAUGGGGCUGGACUCCCGGCUUAUGAGCUUGUUGGUGGGGUAGUGGCUUACCAAGGCUUUGACUGAUAGCCGGCCUGAGAGGGUGAACAGCCACAUGGCGACUGCGGUACGGACCAGACUCGUACGUGAGGCAGUGGUCGGAAGUAUUAUACAAUGGGCGGAAGUCUGAUGCAGCAGCGCCGGGUGCGGAAUGACGGCCUUCGGGGUGUAAACCGCUGUCGCCUGUGACGUAGCGGGAGUGACGGUAAUGGGUAAAGAAGCACCGGCUAACUACGUG
rnacentral:rRNA from 1 species